rnacentral:rRNA from 1 species
UACGGGGGGGGCUAGCGUUGUUCGGAAUUACUGGGCGUAAAGGGCGCGUAGGCGGUCUGCUAAGUUGGAUGUGAAAACUCUGGGCUUAACCCAGAGCCUGCAUUCAAUACUGACAGGCUAGAGUUCUGGAGGGGAUAGCGGAAUUCCUGGUGUAGCGGUGAAAUGCGUAGAUAUCAGGAGGAAUACCGGAGGCGAAGGCGGCUCACUGGGGCUUUUCUGACGCUGAGGAACGAAAGCCAGGGUAGCGAACGGG